AGAACGACUCUCGGCAACGGAUAUCUCGGCUCUCGCAUCGAUGAAGAACGUAGCGAAAUGCGAUACUUGGUGUGAAUUGCAGAAUCCCGUGAACCAUCGAGUCUUUGAACGCAAGUUGCGUCCGAAGCCUUCUGGCCGAGGGCACGUCUGUCUGGGCGUCACGC
rnacentral:rRNA from 1 species